UGAGGAAUAUUGGUCAAUGGGCGUGAGCCUGAACCAGCCAAGUAGCGUGCAGGAAGACGGCCCUAUGGGUUGUAAACUGCUUUUAUGCGGGGAUAAAGGAGUCCACGUGUGGAUUUUUGCAGGUACCGCAUGAAUAAGGACCGGCUAAUUCCGUGCCAGCAGCCGCGGUAAUACGGAAGGUCCGGGCGUUAUCCGGAUUUAUUGGGUUUAAAGGGAGCGUAGGCCGCGUUUUAAGCGUGUUGUGAAAUGUAGACGCCCAACGUCUGCAUCGCAGCGCGAACUGGGACGCUUGAGUACGCGCAACGUUGGCGGAAUUCGUCGUGUAGCGGUGAAAUGCUUAGAUAUGACGGGGAACUCCGAUUGCGAAGGCAGCUGACGGGAGCGGCACUGACGCUUAAGCUCGAAGGUGCGGGUAUCAAACAGG
rnacentral:rRNA from 1 species